AGCGAACGCUGGCGGCAGGCCUAACACAUGCAAGUCGAACGAAGUCUUCGGACUUAGUGGCGGACGGGUGAGUAACACGUGGGAACGUGCCUUUAGGUUCGGAAUAACUCAGGGAAACUUGUGCUAAUACCGAAUGUGCCCUUCGGGGGAAAGAUUUAUCGCCUUUAGAGCGGCCCGCGUCUGAUUAGCUAGUUGGAGAGGUAAAGGCUCACCAAGGCUACGAUCAGUAGCUGGUCUGAGAGGAUGACCAGCCACAUUGGGACUGAGACACGGCCCAAACUCCUACGGGAAGCAGCAGUGGGGAAUCUUGCGCAAUGGGCGAAAGCCUGACGCAGCCAUGCCGCGUGGAUGAUGAAGGUCUUAGGAUUGUAAAAUCCUUUCACCGGUGAAGAUAAUGACUGUAGCCGGAGAAGAAGCCCCGGCUAACUUCGUGCCAGCAGCCGCGGUAACAC
rnacentral:rRNA from 1 species